AUGCUGCACGAGAAGCCCGUCCAGAUUGGCCAACUGGCCGAUGAUGGAGAUGCGGCAAACAAGGCGUGGACAGGGGAGAAGAGGCGCCGCAACGUACCCCCGUCAUCAUCCGAUGCUCCUGCCACUGUCCAGGACCAUGGAGACAUGGAGGACACAAUCCAAGGGGGUCAAGAUCCGAUUCCUCAUGCAGCAGACAUGGAGCCGCUGCUCAGAACAGAUUCGGCGCAAGAAACAAGCCAGGAUUGCUUCGGGCCGGACGUCCUUAUCAGCGAGGAAGACGAAACCCGUUAUGCUCAACUUUUGCGUCCCAACAUUCCUCUUCCUCGUAUGGACCUGCCACUUUAUAUGACAUGGGAGGAAGAAGACAAGAUAGAAGCGCGCCUUGGACGCCUUCGCAUCACUUAUUACAAGGCUGUGAAGCCGGAGUGCGCCCGUGAACGUGAGCUUAAGGAACCAGAAGAAUACACUGAUGCUGAACUUGGUAAGGAGUUGUACUUUAAGCGGUUAGAGGAGGAUGAAAGUUUUGAGUGGUUCGUCCAUCCUGAUGAUACCUAUAAGGCUGGAUUGAAUGACUACCAACGGAUUGCCCCUCGUAAUUUUUGGUUUGACAAGGAUACUAGAGCAUGGAGGCAAGCAUUGAAUAUUGCAACUGGCUUUCCCCAUAUGACUGUUCGUUUAGCUGCUUUUGCUUAUAAUGAGUACAUUCUUGAGAUGGAUAAAGAUGCGUCCCUCAAGGACAUAGAUCUUCUCUAUUUCGAGAUCUGGAGGCGUGUCGCUAAGAAAAAUUUAAGUUAUAUGGAUGCUGUGAAGGAAGUAUAUGAAAUGGACAAGUUCGAUGUACACAAAAGGAGACUAGAUGGUGAACUGAAAGGGGUUCCUGCCAUCGCAACAAUAAAAGAAUACAUGCACUAUGUUGUCCGACAAGGUGGCAUUGACGCGAAGACCGAAGAGGAUAAAGCUCGGGAUGUGUUUAGGAAGUUAUCUGUCAGUAUGCAUAAAGCAAUGAACAUGGCUCAGUACGCUCAGAAAAAGUUGGAUUUAGCAGAUGAGCUGAAGUUGGACAAAGAGGAGGAAUUCUGGCUGGCGCUUUUCAAGAUCAGUAAGACCGAGAGUUUGCUGAUCGUGUCCAGAUGCGUCUGCCGCACGUGGCGCGCCGCGAUCGUCGACGCCCACGACGUCCUCCUCCCCUGCUACUUCCCCCGACACGUAUUUCCUGGCAUCUUCGUCACCAAGGUCGGAUGCCACACGGACGCCGCCUUCUUCGCCCCACCGCCGGGCACACGGGCCGCCGAUCGGUCCGACUUCUGGCGCCCCGUCUCCCUGCUCGACCGUGCUUCCGUGCUCCACUCAUGCAACGGCCUUCUCCUCCUCGAGGACCGGUGGAGAGGCUACUUAGUGUGCAACCCGGCCACGGCGCGGUUUGCUGACCUGACACUCCCAAAGAUGUCAUCGACAUGCCACGUCGACGUGAUGUUCCUCGCUUUCGACCCGGCCGUUUCCCUGCAGUAUGAGGUGUUCCUUUUUCAGGAGGAGUACCCGCCACGCGUUCCGGAACCACCUACUUGGGUCGACCUAGAGCAAACGUACUUGCCCAAUUUGUUUGAAGAAGAGCAAUUGUCCCAAGAUGAAGAUGAAAACACGGAUUUGGGCCAUGUCGAGCAACCGCAAGAGGAAGGUGUCGAGGAACAAAAAGAAAAGGUUGUGCCUUUGACAGUGUACUCCUCGCACACGGGGCACUGGGAGAACAGGGAGUUCACACCUGGAUGUUGUGCCCCGGGGCACCUCUACGACGCGGUGACCACUUCGCCCGACAGCUAUGAAAAGGUGUGGUCAUCCGAGUACUGGCACGGGUCACUCUAUGUAUAUUGCCACAACAGUGCCCUCAUGAUCUUACGACCCUCAAAGUGGACUUAUGAUAUGGCCCAGCUCCCCGGGGAACCCUGUGCUACAAGGGGAUUUUACUCACUACCCAAAAAUUCAGUCUUGGCAAGCUAUGAAAGAGGGAUUCACUGCGUGGCUUUCAACCAGCCGCAACUCAAAGUAUGGAAGCUAACCGAAUCGAUAGAUGGUCAACUAGGGUGGGCAUUGGCACACGAGGCCAGCCUCAACCCACAAGAUCAUAUAACUGACCAUCUUACAAUAGAGCCAAGGGUGAAAUGGGGAGUGGUUGAAAGUAGCGAUGAGCUAGUGAACUUGUUCGAAGACAGGUCCUGUGGAGAAAGCAUGUGCAGUGAGGAUUAUUGUCAUGAUGAUUAUAUCGAGGAUGAAAGCUACGAAGGUGUCAAAGAGGAGGAUGAGGGUCAAGAGGAGGAGGAAGAGGAGGGACAUGAAGUAGAAGAUGCUAGGAGUAUAGGUGGCUCUGAACAUUCCUGGAACUCUGACGAAGACAAUUUCAUUCAUGUAGAUGGGGACGUCGACCACCUUGGACCAUUGGCAUGGAGUUUCUGGAAUUUCUAUAGAAUCAUGGGAUUCCAUCCUCACAAGAAUGCCCUCAUCCUCUUACUCCACUCAAUGGUGGUAGUGUACCAUCUCGAUAUGUCGAGGAUGCAAUAUCUAGGCGAUAAGCACGAGCUCAUCAAAGACCACUUCCAACAAGCUUGUUGCGCCUACCGUUCCUUCCCUUACAGACCUUCCUAUGUAGAUGCGUUACCGACAGGAGAUUUGUCCUGA
rnacentral:rRNA from 1 species